rnacentral:tRNA from 2 species
GGCGAAGUAGCUCAGUCGGUUAGAGCAACGGCUUCAUAAGCCGUGUGUCGCCGGUUCGAGUCCGGCCUUCGCUA